GACAAACCGUGCAAACGUUGUUCGGAAUCACUGGGCUUAAAGGGCGCGUAGGCGGGCGGCCAAGUCAGAGGUGAAAUCUUUCGGCUUAACCGGAAAACAGCUUCUGAUACUGGCGGUCUGGAGGGAGGUAGGGGCACGUGGAACUUCCGGUGGAGCGGUGAAAUGCGUUGAUAUCGGAAGGAACGCCGGUGGCGAAGGCGGUUCUACUGGGCAUUACCUGGACGCUGAGGAGCGAAAGUGUGGGGAGCGAACAGG
rnacentral:rRNA from 1 species